UGAGUUUUCGUGAUUUAAUUAUUGAAAUAAUGGAAGAAACAGAUAUGAAUAGUGAAGUGGACGAUAAACAAGCAAAGAUAAGUAAGUAACGGAAAAUAUUUGGGAGAAUGAGUGACGUUAAAAAAAAUUGCUGGCUUCAACCCACGAAAUUGGACCUGAUUGUAAGUGUGUACGAUUACAAUGUUUCCAAAUUGUAAGAGAAAGAGCUAGGAUUGAUAUAAUAACAAAAUUUAAUAAAAUGACGGUAAAUGAACAGAACAGUUAUUUAAGUGGGCUUAUACAAGUGACUACAGUUUUUCAACUUAGGCCUAGACAAGCUGAAAAAAAUGCUUUGUUACAUGACUGUUCAUAUUCAUAUCAUGUGCGAGUAAAUACUGAAGGAGGUAUCAUUGAGGUUCCGGUAUGUUAUAAGGCGUUCCGUUCUUUACAUGAAAUUUCAAAGAAAAAAAUUGAAGUUAUUUAACUAUACAUUAAAAGAGGUGUCCAGCCUAAAGACGGUCGUGGUCAACAUCAAAACCGGAGAAAUCGUAUAACUAAAGACACCUUUGACGCAGUUUGCACUCACAUUGAGCCUUUUAAUGGUCGCAUGAGUCAUUACAGCCUUAAAGACUCCUCCCUAUUUGCCACCUGAGUUGAAUGUCACAAAAAUGUGCAAUAUAUACAAAAUAAAGUACCCGGAUAAUAAAGUGUCGUAGGGAAAAUUACCGCAAAAUUUUUACUGAAAACUUUAAUAUAAGUUAAAUAAAGGUCUGAUAAAGGCCAUUUUAUGCUCGAAAACGCCAGUCACGGUUAGACAGUCAGAAGUCAAUUAGUCGAGAAUCUAUUGCAAUGGACUUCCAAAAGAACUUACCUGCGCCGAAUAUUACCAAAAACGACGUAUAUUACAAAAGGCAAUUGACGUUUUGUAUGUUUAAAAUCCAUGUCCUUUUCAAUGGCGAGUCGUACUUUUAUGACUAUGAUGAAACGGUUGCUUGCAAAUGAGCAAAUUAAGUUUCUUCUUUUCUUUUUUAUUUUGUAAUGGUGCAACUGGAUCCCGCCGUUAAAGAACUGGAUAUUUUUUGCGACUCCUGCUGCGGCCAGAAUAAAAAUUGGACAAUUUCGUAAUAUGGUUAACAUUAACCAAAAUAAAUGGGUUGAGUUACCUAAAGAAUGGGUUGAAAAAUUUGAAGGUGCUCGCUCAAAGCUAUCGCCUUUUCGUGUAACUGAAGUUGAAAGUAAUUUAGUUCGUGGAUGGACUCAGUUCUUAGAUCAACACUACUUGAAGAAAUGUCCAUUUCAGUCUAGGCAUAUAAAGGAGUUAAUUGCUGAAAAGGAGCAUCCACGCAUGUUGAAACACAGACUUACGUACAAUGGGCAUUGGGAUGUUUCUGUGAUUAAUAAACCAGGUUCAGUUCUACGCUAAAUAAUCCUGAAGUACAAUCAGGACAAUUUAUUCUUCCUGACGUUGCAUACCAAGAACCGUUGCCAAUAACGUUCGAAAAGUAUAAGGACCUUCAAGAUCUUAAAAAAUUCUGUGAGGAGGAAGCUCAAAAGUUUUACUCCCAUCUUCGAUGCAAGGCUCCAAAACCAAAAUCUAGGAGGAAGCAAAAGGCUGCUCCGAAACCAGAAUCUACAAAGCAGCGGCCUAAACAAAGCAAACCCACGGUUGCAAAAGGGGCAUCAAUACGAAAAUCUAGCAAAUAGGCCAUCCAUUUUCUUUUCCAAACGGACAUCGGACGGUGGCAGUUUGUUGUUUUUUAAAUUUUUUCAUAUUUUUCAUUUUUUCUAUAAUAACUUAUAUUUUCGUUAGUUUCGUUGUAUUUUUUUAAAUAUGAAAAAUAAAUACCAACUUGUUGAGUUAUA
rnacentral:lncRNA from 1 species